rnacentral:rRNA from 1 species
AACGAACGCUGGCGGCAGGCUUAACACAUGCAAGUCGAGCGCCCCGCAAGGGGAGCGGCAGACGGGUGAGUAACGCGUGGGAACAUACCCUUUGGUUCGGAAUAACUCAGGGAAACUUGAGCUAAUACCGGAUACGUCCGUAAGGAGAAAGAUUUAUCGCCAAAGGAUUGGCCCGCGUCCGAUUAGCUAGUUGGUGAGGUAACGGCUCACCAAGGCUACGAUCGGUAGCUGGUCUGAGAGGAUGAUCAGCCACAUUGGGACUGAGACACGGCCCAAACUCCUACGGGAGGCAGCAGUGGGGAAUAUUGGACAAUGGGCGCAAGCCUGAUCCAGCCAUGCCGCGUGAGUGAUGAAGGCCUUAGGGUUGUAAAGCUCUUUUGUCCGGGAAGAUAAUGACUGUACCGGAAGAAUAAGCCCCGGCUAACUUCGUGCCAG